CCAAUUUAUUACAAAUCCGAGUCAUUUAGGUAGAUGGGGAAGGGAAGAUGGAAAUAUAGGAAAUAAAAGCAAGGAGUCUUUGUAGGAAGCAAGAGAGAGAUAGUCAUCACCAUGGAUUCCAGCAUUGCUUGUAGUGAAGACGUUGAUCUUCAGUAGUGAUGGGUCGUCAGGGGUUGUUGUUCGGUUGAUGAUGACAGUGAUUUCCAACAACAGUACAAUCUUAUUUAUAACUCCAAAAGUGGUUGAGUCAGCUCUCUUUUGAGUGACAGCUCAAAUCCAAAGUGGUUGAGUCAGCUCUCUUUGUAGUGCAAGCUUCUAGCUUUGGGAUCUCAGCAGAAACUUCUGUGUUCCCAUCUUCUAGGCCUUGCCAGCAGAUAAGAGGGAGCAGGGAGGUGCCCACCUGCAUCCUGUUUUUCAUAGUAUACGAUGGUAUCCUUCCCCAGUCUCCCAUACCAAGCUGGAGUUAUUUGGUCACAGGCCAGAUAUUCUGCUAGUAAACACUUCUGAGCACUCUCUUCAAAUGUAAAGCUGUCCACAAAGUGAUGCCGACUGCCACACAGCAACACCCACCUCUCAUCUCCCAGAUGAGUCAGAGUCUUAUUCCAAGAAAUGACUCAGAAAACAAACUUUGACCCAAGAACAAAGCUCGGAAAACCAUCACUAAGUUUGCAGAUGAUACCAAGCUGAGUGGUGAAGCUGAUACAAUAGAAGGAAUGGAUGUAAUUCAAAGGGACCUGGACAGGCUCUAAAAGUGGGUCCAUGAGAACCUGUUGAGGUUCAAGUAAGUCCAAGUGCAAGGUCCUGUACUAGAAUCAACUCAAUUCCAGAUAUUAGUAGAGACUGUGUGAUGAGCAGGUUGAAAGCAGCUUUGCAGAGAAGGACUUGGAAGUACUGGUGGAUGAAAAGCUCAGCAUGAGCCAGGAAUGUGCAUUCGCAGCACAGGUUGUGUCUGAAGCUGCAUUAAAAGAACCACAGCCAACAGGCUGAAAGAGGUGAUUAUUCACUUCUAUGAGGGCUGCUCUGAAAGUAAUGCCUCCUAUUUAAUUAUGUCGUUCUUGGCAUCAGAGGUGGAUGUUCACAGAAUCACAAAAUUGUAGGGGUUAGAAGGGACCUCUAAAGAUCGAGUCUAAUAGAUUUCCUGCAGCAAGUCACAUGUGAAGGCACCCAGUCUUGAAUAUUCCAUUACAUUUUGUUGCUGUGCUAAGGACAGAGGGGUGGUCUGACAAAAUGGUGUCUGACAUGCAAGUCCAUUUGAAGAAAAGGUGUGCAAUAGAAUUCCUCCAUGUGGAAAAAAAUGGGAUGCACUUCAACAAUGAUGCCGUCAUAGUAGCUGUGGAACAGUGAGUUUCCUCCACUGGUGCGGAUUUUUAUGAGUGAAGCAUGAAGGCUCUAAUUCAUGGCUGGCAGAAAUGCAUAGCUAACGGUGAUGAUUAUGUUGAAAAAAAGUGUUUUAUAGCUAAGAAUGUGCUCUAUCAAGUAGUGUUCUCAUGCUCUUUGUAGAUGUUGUAGUUUCCAUUGAAUUAAGUAACUUUCAGUGAAGGCUCCAAGGAGACCUUUAGCAGCCUUCUAGCAGUUACAGGAAGUAUGGGGAGGAACUCUCCAUCAAGGAAUGUUGUGACAGGACAAGGGAGAAAGAUUCAAAGUUAAGAGGGGAGAUUUAGAUUAGACGUAGGAAAUAAAUAUGAGGACAGUGAGACAUUGGAAGGCUGCUCAAAGAAGCUGUGGAUGUCCCAUCCCUGAAGACAUUCAAGGCUCAGGGCCCCGAGCAAUGUGAUCUAGUGGUUGCAGUCCUGCCCAUAGCAAGGGGAUUGGAACUAGAUGGUCUCUAAGGUCCCUUUCAACCCAAAGCUUAUUCUUUCAACAGUUGAAAUAAAAAUAAUUCACUAACAACCUGAAGCUCAGUGUAACUUAGCAAUUCUGUGAUUCUGUGAUCAGUAAUAACAAAAGUAUAUAAUUUGCUGUAAAAUACAAAGUGCAUUUUCUAAAUUGUUCAUUGCAGACCUUCAUUCCUCAAAUAUAAAGGCCUGCUCCUUCUAAAACUUAGAUGUAUGCUUAAUUUAAUGAACAAAAAAAAAAUCCUAUGUCCUGAAAUGUGUGCAUAUUUGCUGUUUAGCACUGCAUUGGAAAAUGUCAUUCAAAUGUUAAUUUUACUAGCAAACUAUAGUCAAAUUAUGACUAAUGUUAUAUCAUUCUCCCUCCCUUUGAAACUACUUUUGUUCAUUUAGCAAAUGCAUCUAAAGUGGCCGAGUAGAAAAACACUUUUAAAUAUCUCUUUAAAGAACUAGUAUUAUACUAUAAAAUGUUCUUCAUAAAGAACGAUUCUGAAAUGUUUUACAUGCUCUAUACAAGUUCAGAUAAGGACACUUACUGAACACUUCAUGGGAAAAUUGAUGGAUUUGUAUUGCCUUGAACACAAAGGAGGAAGAUUCUGAUGGCUUUUAAAUCACAUUUUGUUUAGAUGAGGAAGAAUGAAAGCUACAGUUUAUUUCUUCCAUGGAGCAUGGAGGAUGUGUGGGUCAAAUUAUCUCAGUUCUGAUUCCUAUUUUAUCUUUGAUCUCCAGAGACAUCACUGCUAUACAUUGUCCUCUGGUCUUGCUAAAAUGCAGCUUAUACUGUUUCAUGAUAAUAUGUUCAAUGCAAUUGUUUCUGAGCCUGAAUACCACCACAGAUGCUUAUUUACCUGCAAAGGAUUUAGAAUAGAUCUACAGUGUAGUAUAUUAUUGUACCCAGCACUUAUACAAUGUUAUGUAGGUUGUUCUGAAAAUAAUGCCUCCUAUUUAUUUCCAUGGAAACUGCCACAGAUACAAAGAAGUACAAUAACGCCAAUGUUUGGUAGAGAAAAUUUUCAGCUGUAAAAUGCUAUUUUGUCACUUCACAGCUGCUGUGGUGAUGUUGUUGCUAGGGCAUGCUUCCCAUGCUGUUCAUCUUUCACUGACCUAAACAAAUGAAAGCCAGAAAGUGCCAAAUCUGGACUAUACAGUGGUAGGACUGACCAUCCAAGAUUGGCAAAGCACUCCACAGUCUUCAAACUGGUAUGGGGUCUGGUCUUUCCCUGUUGCAUUAGAAGAGCUGCCUUCUUCUCUAGCUUAACUCUAAUUGUUUGAGUCUUCAGCCUAGUCAAUAUUUGUCUGGGUUGUAGGAAAUCCAGAAAGAUCACCCCUUUCCUAUCCCUAAAGACUGUACACAUCAUUUUACUCACUAAGGCUUGAACUUUUUCUUCAUUGUUGAAUUCACAUGUCACCACUCCAUGGGCAGACAUUUUGAUUCCUGCUUGUAGUUGUGACAUCAUGUUUCAUCACUGAUAAUAAUAUGAUUGAGAAACCUGUCACCUUCUGUCUCAUUUUGGUUCAGUAGUUCCUGACAAAUUUGCAUAUAGUGUUCUUUCUCUUCCUGUGUGAGCUUUUAUGGGACAAACCUGGCAAAAAUUUUGCAAUAUUCCAAUGUCACCACCAUCUUUUUCUAAUGCAUUUAGGCUGAUAUUCAGUUCUGUACAUAGAUCCUUGAUACUGAUUACAUAGAUGAGCUGAUCAAGAUGCUCUUCAUUUUGCAGUGUGACAGCUGUUCAUGACAGUCCGAAACACAGCUUGUCGUUCGUAUUGCUUUUAUCCCUGCUGAAAUACAACACCUGUCACCUCACUGUGCUCAAAUUCACGGUUUGUUCUCAAUAAACAUAAAGCAAGCAUCAAUGAGUGUCAGUGGGUGUGUUUUUUUUUCCAGAUGGAGGAAUUCCGUUACAGUCCUUUGCUCCAUACACACUUCCAUGUUGGAUGUCAUCAUGUCAGACUGCUCCUAUGCUGCCAUCUGUUGCACGGCAACAAUAUGUAACAGAGUAUUGGUAGGAAGCUUCAACCUUUACUGCCAUACCAUCAACAUCCACUUCUGACAUUGUGACGUAAUAAAACAGGAGGCAUUACUUUUGGAGCAGAAUGUUUAGGUCACUGAGGAUGCACAGUUAAGCAUUCAUAAUGGCUCCUACUAGAUCUAAAAGAGCUAGCAGCAGUCUACCAAAAAAAGUACAGAAUUGAGAGCUCUGCAAAUGAUUAUUGGACUGUUGAGUUUAAACCAGCUCAGGAAGACACCUGAGUGGCUGGGCCAGUAGAAGUAGAUCUUGGCAGAAGAGAGAAUUUUUCUCAUGCACCUGUCAGAAGCUGGAAACAACAGUUUCAAGAUGCUGGACCUGGAAAUGCAGGCUCGAGAUGAAUUAGAAACUCAGAUGAGGGAAUAGCUUAUUGAUAUUAACAAAUUAAAUACUGCAACAUUAAUGACA